GUAAAUUCACCAAAGACGUCACCGUGGAGUUAUUGGAGAGCGAGCUUACGGGUCCAUGACGAUGACUUCUGUUUUGUUUGAUCAGCCGUUUUACUGCCGUGACACAGACACCGUUUGGAAACAACUAAGGCCACUUACAUCCUGGUUGCCCAUAUCCCAGUAGGGCCUCUCCCCGUAGGACAUGACCUCCCACAUGACGAUACCAAAGCUCCAGACAUCUGAAGCCGAGGAGAAGCGGUGAUACUGGAUGGCCUCUGGAGCGGUCCACAGCACCACGCUCUUCCCUCCGUGCUAGAGAGGACAGCAUAGUAGUAAGAAGAAUCGGCCUGCUGACUGACAAGGCGGACAUCGAUUACCGUGACGCAAACAGAGCAGAGACAAGGCGAUAUCACGACUGUCAACACACUUGCAUUUUUGUAUAAUAAUAUAUUGUGUUUAACUGAAGCUGUCAAGAUUGCCC